UACGGGGGAGGCAAGCGUUGUUCGGAAUUACUGGGCGUAAAGGGCUCGUAGGCGGCCAACUAAGUCAGACGUGAAAUCCCUCGGCUUAACCGGGGAACUGCAUCUGAUACUGGAUGGCUUGAGUUCGGGAGAGGGAUGCGGAAUUCCAGGUGUAGCGGUGAAAUGCGUAGAUAUCUGGAGGAAUACCGGUGGCGAAGGCGGCAUCCUGGACCGACAUUGACGCUGAGGAGCGAAAGCCAGGGGAGCAAACGGG
rnacentral:rRNA from 1 species